GUGAGGAAUAUUGCGCAAUGGAGGCAACUCUGACGCAGCCAUGCCGCGUGCAGGAAGAAGGCGCUACGCGUUGUAAACUGCUUUUAACCGGGAAGAAACCCCAGGACGUGUCCUGGGUUGACGGUACCGGAGGAAUAAGCACCGGCUAACUUCGUGCCAGCAGCCGCGGUAAUACGAAGGGUGCAAGCGUUAUCCGGAUUCAUUGGUUUUAAAGGGUGCGUAGGCGGAGCGUUAAGUCAGUGGUGAAAUCCUGCAGCUUAACUGGAGACUUGCCAGUGAUACUGGCGCGCUUGAGUGCGCUUGAAGUGGGCGGAAUGUGCCGUGUAGCGGUGAAAUGCUUAGAUAUGGCACAGAACACCAAUUGCGAAGGCAGCUCACUAAGGCGAUACUGACGCUGAGGCACGAAAGCGUGGGGAUCGAACAGGAUUAGAUACCCUGGUAGUCC
rnacentral:rRNA from 1 species